AAGUCGUAACAAGGUUUCCGUAGGUGAACCUGCGGAAGGAUCAUUAUUGAAUAUUCUUGAUGGGUUGUAGCUGGCUCUCCGGGGCAUGUGCACACUUGUCUUGACUUUAUUCGUCCACCUGUGCACCUUUUGUAGUCUUGGGGGUUGAGAGCAAGUCAACUAUCGGAUGGCUAAGGCCUUACCGGACGUGAGGAUUGCUGAGUGCGAAAGCAUACAGCUUUUCUUAAAUGACUUGCAAAACCUCUCCCUCGAGUACUAUGUAUUCAUAUACCACAUAGUAUGUUGUAGAAUGUGAUCAAUGGGCCUAUGUGCCUAUAAUAAUGAAAUACAACUUUCAGCAACGGAUCUCUUGGCUCUC
rnacentral:misc_RNA from 1 species